rnacentral:rRNA from 1 species
CCUACGGGAGGCAGCAGUGAGGAAUAUUGGUCAAUGGCCGUAAGGCUGAACCAGCCAAGUCGCGUGAAGGAAGAAGGAUCUACGGUUUGUAAACUUCUUUUAUGGGGGAAUAAAGGUAUCCACGUGUGGCUAUUUGCAUGUACCCUAUGAAUAAGCAUCGGCUAACUCCGUGCCAGCAGCCGCGGUAAUACGGAGGAUGCGAGCGUUAUCCGGAUUUAUUGGGUUUAAAGGGUGCGUAGGUUGUUUUUUAAGUCAGCGGUGAAAGUUUGUGGCUCAACCAUAAAAUUGCCGUUGAAACUGGAAGACUUGAGUGUGUUUGAGGUAGGCGGAAUGCGUGGUGUAGCGGUGAAAUGCAUAGAUAUCACGCAGAACUCCGAUUGCGAAGGCAGCUUACUAAGCCAUAACUGACACUGAAGCACGAAAGCGUGGGGAUCAAACAGGAUUAGAUACCCGAGUAGUC